UAGGGAAUCUUCGGCAAUGGACGAAAGUCUGACCGAGCAACGCCGCGUGAGUGAAGAAGGUUUUCGGAUCGUAAAACUCUGUUGUUAGAGAAGAACAAGGACGUUAGUAACUGAACGUCCCCUGACGGUAUCUAACCAGAAAGCCACGGCUAACUACGUGCCAGCAGCCGCGGUAAUACGUAGGUGGCAAGCGUUGUCCGGAUGUAUUGGGCGUAAAGCGAGCGCAGGCGGUUUCUUAAGUCUGAUGUGAAAGCCCCCGGCUCAACCGGGGAGGGUCAUUGGAAACUGGGAGACUGGAGUGCAGAAGAGGAGAGUGGAAUUCCAUGUGUAGCGGUGAAAUGCGUAGAUAUAUGGAGGAACACCAGUGGCGAAGGCGGCUCUCUGGUCUGUAACUGACGCUGAGGCUCGAAAGCGGGGAGAGCAAACAGG
rnacentral:rRNA from 1 species